UACGACCAUAUCACGUUGAAACAUCCGGCACCCGUGCGAUCACAGAAGUUAAGCAACGUUGAGCCUGGUUAGUUCGUUGAUGGAUGACUUUUUGGUAAUUCCAGGUUCUGUA